rnacentral:rRNA from 1 species
CUACCAUGCAGUCGAACGGUAACAUUUAAUUGCUUGCAUAUUCGAUGACGAGUGGCGGACGGGUGAGUAAUGCUUGGGAACUUGCCUUUGCGAGGGGGAUAACAGUUGGAAACGACUGCUAAUACCGCAUAAUGUCUACGGACCAAACGGGGCUUAGGCUCCGGCGCAAAGAGAGGCCCAAGUGAGAUUAGCUAGUUGGUAAGGUAAAGGCUUACCAAGGCAACGAUCUCUAGCUGUUCUGAAAGGAAGAUCAGCCACACUGGGACUGAAACACGGCCCAGACUCCUACGGGAGGCAGCAGUGGGGAAUAUUGCACAAUGGGGGAAACCCUGAUGCAGCCAUGCCGCGUGUGUGAAGAAGGCCUUCGGGUUGUAAAGCACUUUCAGUUGUGAGGAAAAGUUAGUAGUUAAUACCUGCUAGCCGUGACGUUAACAACAGAAGAAGCACCGGCUAACUCCGUGCCAGCAGCCGCGGUAAUACGGAGGGUGCGAGCGUUAAUCGGAAUUACUGGGCGUAAAGCGCACGCAGGCGGUUUGUUAAGCUAGAUGUGAAAGCCCCGGGCUCAACCUGGGAUGGUCAUUUAGAACUGGCAGACUAGAGUCUUGGAGAGGGGAGUGGAAUUCCAGGUGUAGCGGUGAAAUGCGUAGAUAUCUGGAGGAACAUCAGUGGCGAAGGCGACUCCCUGGCCAAAGACUGACGCUCAUGUGCGAAAGUGUGGGUAGCGAACAGGAUUAGAUACCCUGGUAGUCCACACCGUAAACGCUGUCUACUAGCUGUUUGUGACUUUAAGUCGUGAGUAGCGAAGCUAACGCGCUAAGUAGACCCGCCCUGGGGAGUACGGCCGCAAGUAAAACCUCAAAUGAAAUUGACCGGGGGCCCCGCCACAAGCGGUGGAGCCAUGUGCUUUAAUUCGAUGCAACGCCGAAGAACCCUACCCUACCACCUUGACAUGCAGAGACCUUCCUAGAGA